rnacentral:rRNA from 1 species
UACAGAGGGGGCAAGCGUUAUUCGGAAUUAUUGGGCGUAAAGGGCGCGUAGGCGGCCUGGCAAGUGGAUGGUGAAAUCCCUCGGCUUAACCGAGGAACUGCCAUCCAGACUGCUUGGCUUGAGACCGGGAGAGGUGAGUGGAAUUCCCAGUGUAGCGGUGAAAUGCGUAGAUAUUGGGAGGAACACCAGUGGCGAAGGCGACACGCUGGGCCGUACCUGACACUGAACCGCGACAGCAUGGGAGCAACAGG